GAUGAACGCUGGCGGCGUGCCUAAUACAUGCAAGUCGAACGAAACUUCUUUAUCACCGAGUGCUUGCACUCACCGAUAAAGAGUUGAGUGGCGAACGGGUGAGUAACACGUGGGCAACCUGCCCAAAAGAGGGGGAUAACACUUGGAAACAGGUGCUAAUACCCAUAACCAUAGUUACCGCAUGGUAACUAUGUAAAAGGUGGCUAUACUACCGCUUUUGGAUGGGCCCGCGGCGCAUUAGCUAGUUGGUAGGGUAAAGGCUUACCAAGGCAAUGAUGCGUAGCCGAAUUGAGAGGUUGAUCGGCCACAUUGGGACUGAGACACGGCCCAAACUCCUACGGGAGGCAGCAGUAGGGAAUCUUCCACAAUGGGCGAAAGCCUGAUGGAGCAACGCCGCGUGGGUGAAGAAGGUCUUCGGAUCGUAAAACCCUGUUGUUAGAGAAGAAAGUGCGUGAGAGUAACUGUUCACGUUUCGACGGUAUCUAACCAGAAAGCCACUGCUAACUACGUG
rnacentral:rRNA from 1 species